GCAGCCGGGAAGCCAGCGAGGUCGGUUCCGCCCGACUCUAACAUGGCGGCGCCCUUUGUCUGCUGUAAAGUGCCGUCCCUGGCUUUCUCGCGGCCGUGAUGCACCUCCCUCUGCGGUGGGGCCCAGGACAUGGCAGGUAAUGAGCCGGAGGAGGAGAGCCAAGCUGGAGUUUGCACAGACAAACUGUCAGAAAAGAAUAGCCUUGGCUGCUUGGAAAUCUGAGCCAUGGAUUUCCCCCAGCACAGCCAGCAUGUCUUGGAGCAGCUGAACCAGCAGCGGCAGCUGGGGCUUCUGUGUGACUGCACUUUUGUGGUGGACGGUGUUGACUUCAAGGCCCAUAAAGCGGUGCUGGCGGCCUGCAGCGAGUAUUUCAAGAUGCUCUUCGUGGACCAGAAGGAUGUGGUGCAUCUGGACAUCAGUAACGCGGCAGGCCUGGGGCAGGUACUGGAUUUUAUGUACACAGCCAAGCUGAGCCUGAGCUCUGAAAAUGUGGACGAUGUGCUGGCUGUGGCCAGCUUCCUGCAGAUGCAGGACAUCAUCACAGCCUGCCAUGCCCUCAAGUCAUUCGCUGAGCCGGCCACCAGCUCUGGGGAGAGUACAACGGCCUCGGCCAUGGAAGGAGAGGACAAGAGAGCCAAAGAGGAGAAGACUGCUGCCACCAUGCCGAGUGAGUUGGAGCCAGCCGGAAGCAGUCCACCCACAGGCCCAGGCAGGGAACCCAAAGAGGAGCGAGGCGGCCAGGCUGAGAGCGCGGCCAGUGGUGCAGAGCAGACGGAGAAGGCCGAUGCCCCCCGGGAGCCGCUGUCGGUGGAGCUCAAGCCUGACCCCACCAGUGGCAUGGCUGCUGCGGAAGCUGAGGCCGCCUUGUCAGAGAGCUCUGAGCAAGGCGCCUCAGUGCCUGCCCUUCUCGCGGCAGAAAUGGAGGUGGAGCCAGCCAGGAAGGGAGAAGGGAGAGAGGAGGAGGGCGCUGUGGUCAAGGAAGAGGGGCCGCCACUGGAGAAGGGAGAGGCCCCAGAGGAGAGCGAGGAGUCGGCGAGCACGGACUCAGGCCAGGAGCUGGGUGCUGAGGCCCGCGGCCUGCGCUCAGGCACCUACGGGGACCGCACAGAGUCCAAGGCGUAUGGCUCGAUCAUCCACAAGUGCGAGGACUGUGGGAAGGAGUUCACACACACGGGCAACUUCAAGCGGCACAUCCGCAUCCACACAGGCGAGAAGCCCUUCUCGUGCCGGGAGUGCAGCAAGGCAUUCUCUGACCCCGCCGCCUGCAAGGCCCACGAGAAGACGCACAGCCCGCUGAAGCCUUAUGGCUGUGAGGAGUGUGGCAAGAGCUACCGGCUCAUCAGCCUGCUGAAUCUGCACAAGAAACGGCACUCGGGCGAGGCACGCUACCGCUGCGAGGGCUGUGGCAAGCUCUUCACGACGUCGGGCAACCUCAAGCGGCACCAGCUAGUGCACAGCGGGGAGAAGCCCUACCAGUGCGACUACUGUGGCCGCUCCUUCUCUGACCCCACCUCCAAGAUGCGCCACCUGGAGACCCAUGACACCGACAAGGAGCACAAGUGUCCUCACUGCGACAAGAAGUUCAACCAGGUGGGGAAUCUGAAGGCCCACCUGAAGAUCCACAUCGCGGACGGGCCCCUCAAGUGCCGAGAGUGUGGAAAGCAGUUCACCACCUCAGGGAACCUCAAGCGGCACCUUCGCAUCCACAGUGGGGAGAAGCCCUACGUGUGUGUCCACUGCCAGCGGCAGUUUGCUGACCCUGGGGCUCUGCAGCGGCAUGUCCGUAUCCACACAGGCGAGAAGCCGUGCCAGUGUGUGAUGUGCGGCAAGGCCUUCACCCAGGCCAGCUCCCUAAUUGCCCACGUGCGCCAGCACACCGGGGAGAAGCCCUACGUCUGCGAGCGCUGCGGCAAGAGAUUUGUCCAGUCCAGCCAGCUGGCCAAUCACAUUCGCCACCACGACAAUAUCCGUCCUCACAAGUGCAGCGUGUGCAGCAAAGCCUUCGUGAAUGUGGGUGACCUGUCCAAGCACAUCAUCAUCCACACUGGAGAGAAGCCUUACCUGUGUGACAAGUGCGGUCGUGGCUUCAACCGGGUGGACAACUUGCGUUCUCAUGUGAAGACUGUGCACCAGGGCAAGGCAGGCAUCAAAAUCCUAGAGCCAGAGGAGGGUGGCGAGGUCAGCGUGGUCACUGUUGAUGACAUGGUCACACUGGCCACUGAGGCGCUGGCAGCAACAGCUGUCACUCAGCUCACAGUGGUACCAGUGGGGGCUGCGGUGACUGCCGACGAGACAGAAGUACUGAAAGCCGAGAUCAGUAAAGCUGUGAAGCAAGUGCAGGAAGAAGACCCCAACACCCACAUCCUCUAUGCCUGUGACUCCUGUGGGGACAAGUUCCUGGAUGCCAAUAGCCUGGCCCAGCACGUGCGGAUCCACACGGCCCAGGCACUUGUCAUGUUCCAGACUGAUGCGGACUUCUACCAGCAGUAUGGACCGGGCAGCACGUGGCCAGCUGGGCAGCUUUAGGACCUGACCUCCCCUGUCUGCCAUGGAGCACAGCAGGGGCUGGUCACAGCUGCUUACCAGGAUCCAGGCAACCAAGUGAGCACCCAGCUCAGGGGCCCACUCAGCCAGAGCAGCAGUCCGCCCUCAACAGCUGUAACCUCUCACUUGGAGAUGGCACCAUCUUCUUGCAUCAAAAGUGUAGGUCUGUUUGGAGGAACUCUGGAUAUUUCAAGUGAGACGACCAGCUCUGUGGUCCGUGUUCCUGUUCCCCAGCUUGUAUGGGGUCCAGUAGCAGGGAAAGCAUGGCCCGCCCACCCAUCCUCCUGUCUGGAGGCUGCUGCAGGGCCAGCCUGCAUCACCACACCCAGAGAAGGAAGGGGCAGAAGACAAAGACACCAAAGCUCGCUUAAGAUGCUGCCGAGUUGGUGUGGGGGUGGUUUUAUUCUGCAUCUAAAUGUGAAGUGCCUUCCACUUACCCAGUAACCAGUUCAGUCCAGUCCAUGCUGGAAAUUUCCCUAAGAUAGAGUGAUCCUUCGGGAGAAUUAAGUGGCGGAAACAAAUAGGUCUCAUAUCCAAACUUGGGGUGGGUUGGGUGGAGAAAGCAAAAAUGGGAUGAGGGCCAGCUAUUCCAUAAGCCAAGGCCCCUCGCUCCUCCCACCGAAGUGACAAUCACAAC